CCGAGUUUACAACUCCCAAACCCAAUGUGAACCAUACCAAACUGUUGCCUCGGCGGGGUCACGCCCCGGGUGCGUCGCAGCCCCGGAACCAGGCGCCCGCCGGAGGGACCAACCAAACUCUUUCUGUAGUCCCCUCGCGGACGUUAUUUUUACAGCUCUGAGCAAAAAUUCAAAAUGAAUCA
rnacentral:rRNA from 2 species